ensembl:lncRNA
GCAUACAUAUAAACUCGCUGCAUACAAACACAACUGCACAUACUCGCACCUACAUAUAAACUUGAUCCAUGCAUAUACACCUACACACACUCGCGCAUACAUAUAAACUCGCUGCAUACAAACACAACUGCACAUACUCGCACCUACAUAUAAACUUGAUCCAUGCAUAUACACCUACACACACUCGCGCAUACAUAUAAACUCGCUGCAUACAAACACAACUGCACAUACUCGCACCUACAUAUAAACUUGAUCCAUGCAUAUACACCUACACACACUCGCGCAUACAUAUAAACUCGCUGCAUACAAACACAACUGCACAUACUCGCACCUACAUAUAAACUUGAUCCAUGCAUAUACACCUACACACACUCGCGCAUACAUAUAAACUCGCUGCAUACAAACACAACUGCACAUACUCGCAUAUACAUAUAAACUUGAUCCAUGCAUAUACACCUACACACACUCGCGCAUACAUAUAAACUCGCUGCAUACAAACACAACUGCACAUACUCGCAUAUACAUAUAAACUUGAUCCGUGCAUAUACACCUAUUAAACACUCGCACAUAAAUGUAAACUCGAUGCGCGCAUACACAUCCAUAAAACACUCGCGCAUACAUAAAAAAUAACAUUUACUAACGUAUACAGUUCAGAUAAGAAAGACACAUGCUUUAUUUGUGUAAAUAAUAUAUAUGCAAGUGAUUUCAUAUGUAGAUGUGCGUGAACUUUUCAGUUUAAACGGAAGGCAUUUCAGUGUAAACGGAAGGCAUUUCAGUGUAAAAGGAAGGCAUUUCAGUGUAAAAGGAAGGCAUUUCAGUGUAAAAGGAAGUCGUUUAAGCGUGAACGGAAGUAACCUGUCUAUAUGGUCUAUAUACCGCAUUUGCAAUCAUGGACAGGCAUCGUGGUACAACUGAAGCAAUUAGCAUUUUGCGAAAUGUUCUUUCUUCGCCCACUAUUAUAAUAACACGCAAACGAUGCCAACAUCAUCCGCCGGUUGAGUUCACGGACCAUGAUAUCACACUCGCCAGCAGUUAAUUGGCAGUCUCGAUCUAGAAAAAGGUGAGAAUUUAACUUCUAUGCAAUCUUCAUGAAAUAGCUGCAAACGCUAUGCAAAUUACACACACACAGAAAGAGAGAAUAAAAUGUCCUGUCUCUAUAGUUAAAAAAUAUAA